UACAGAGGUCCCAAGCGUUGUUCGGAUUCAUUGGGCGUAAAGGGUGCGUAGGCGGCGCGGUAAGUCGGGUGUGAAAUCUCGGAGCUUAACUCCGAAACUGCAUUCGAUACUGCCGUGCUUGAGGACUGGAGAGGGAGACGUGGAAUUUACGGUGUAGCGGAUGAAUGCGUAGAUAUCGUAAGGAAGACCAGUGGCGAAGGCGGGUCUCUGGACAGUUCCUGACGCUGAGGCACGAAGGCCAGGGGAGCAAACGGG
rnacentral:rRNA from 1 species